AUUGAACGCUGGCGGCAGGCCUAACACAUGCAAGUCGAACGAGUGGCGGACGGGUGAGUAAUGUCUGGGAAACUGCCUGAUGGAGGGGGAUAACUACUGGAAACGGUAGCUAAUACCGCAUACCAUCGGAUGUGCCCAGAUGGGAUUAGCUAGUGGGUGGGGUGACGGCUCACCUAGGCGACGAUCCCUAGCUGGUCUGAGAGGAUGACCAGCCACCCUGGUACUGGGACAGUGUCCAGACUACUACGGGAGGCAGCAGUGGGGAAUAGUGCACAAUGGGGGCAAGCCUGAUGCAGCCGUGCGGCGUGGAUGAAGAAGGCCUUCGGGUUGUAAAGUACUUUCAGCGGGGAGGCGUUACCCGCAGAAGAAGCAACGGCUAACUCCGUGCCAGCAGCCGCGGUAAUAC
rnacentral:rRNA from 1 species